GACGAACGCUGGCGGCGUGCCUAAUACAUGCAAGUCGAACGCUUUGAUUUUCACCGGAGCUUGCUCCACCGAAAAUCAAAGAGUGGCGGACGGGUGAGUAACACGUGGGCAACCUGCCCAACAGAGGGGGAUAACACUUGGAAACAGGUGCUAAUACCGCGUAAUUUGUUUUUCCGCAUGGAAGAAUAAUAAAAGACGCUUCGGUGUCACUGUUGGAUGGGCCCGCGCUGCAUUAGUUAGUUGGUGGGGUAACGGCCUACCAAGACCAUGAUGCAUAGCCGACCUGAGAGGGUGAUCGGCCACACUGGGACUGAGACACGGCCCAGACUCCUACGGGAGGCAGCAGUAGGGAAUCUUCGGCAAUGGACGAAAGUCUGACCGAGCAACGCCGCGUGAGUGAAGAAGGUUUUCGGAUCGUAAAACUCUGUUGUUAGAGAAGAACAAGUGAGAGAGUUACUGUUCUCACCUUGACGGUAUCUAGCCAGAAAGCCACGGCUAACUACGUGCCAGCAGCCGCGGUAAUACGUAGGUGGCAAGCGUUGUCCGGAUUUAUUGGGCGUAAAGCGAGCGCAGGCGGUUUCUUAAGUCUGAUGUGAAAGCCCUCGGCUCAACCGAGGAAGGUCAUUGGAAACUGGGGAACUUGAGUGCAGAAGAGGAGAGUGGAAUUCCAUGUGUAGCGGUGAAAUGCGUAGAUAUAUGGAGGAACACCAGUGGCGAAGGCGACUCUCUGGUCUGUAACUGACGCUGAGGCUCGAAAGCGUGGGGAGCAAACAGG
rnacentral:rRNA from 1 species